AAAGUCCCGCAAGGGAUAAGUAGAGUGGCAAACGGGUGAGUAACACGUGGGUGACCUGCCUUCGAGUGGGGGAUAACGUCCCGAAAGGGACGCUAAUACCGCAUAACAUCCUGCCUUUGAAGAGGUGGAGAUCAAAGCUGGGGACCGCAAGGCCUAGCGCUCAAAGAGGGGCCCGCGCCUGAUUAGCUAGUUGGUGAGGUAACGGCCCACCAAGGCUACGAUCAGUAUCCGGCCUGAGAGGGCGGACGGACACACUGGGACUGAGACACGGCCCAGACUCCUACGGGAGGCAGCAGUGGGGAAUUGUUCGCAAUGGGCGCAAGCCUGACGACGCAACGCCGCGUGGAGGAUGAAGACCUUCGGGUCGUAAACUCCUUUCGAUCGAGACGAAUGGCUUCCGGGUGAACAAUCCGGGAGAAUGACGGUACCGAGAGAAGAAGCCCCGGCUAACUCCGUGCCAGCAGCCGCGGUAAUACGGGGGGGGCAAGCGUUGUUCGGAAUUACUGGGCGUAAAGGGCUCGUAGGCGGCCAACUAAGUCAGACGUGAAAUCCCUCGGCUUAACCGGGGAACUGCGUCUGAUACUGGAUGGCUUGAGAUUGGGAGAGGGAUGCGGAAUUCCAGGUGUAGCGGUGAAAUGCGUAGAUAUCUGGAGGAACACCGGUGGCGAAGGCGACAUCCUGGACCAACACUGACGCUGAGGAGCGAAAGCCAGGGGAGCAAACGGGAUUAGAUACCCCGGUAGUCCUGGCCCUAAACGAUGAAUGCUUGGUGUGGCGGGUAUCGAUCCCUGCCGUGCCGAAGCUAACGCAUUAAGCAUUCCGCCUGGGGAGUACGGUCGCAAGGCUG
rnacentral:rRNA from 1 species